GACGAACGCUGGCGGCGUGCUUAACACAUGCAAGUCGAACGAUGAACCACUUCGGUGGGGAUUAGUGGCGAACGGGUGAGUAACACGUGGGCAAUCUGCCCUCCACUCCGGGACAAGCCCUGGAAACGGGGUCUAAUACCGGAUAUCACUCCUGCCUGCAUGGGCGGGGGUUGAAAGCUCCGGCGGUGGAGGAUGAGCCCGCGGCCUAUCAGCUUGUUGGUGAGGUAAUGGCUCACCAAGGCGACGACGGGUAGCCGGCCUGAGAGGGCGACCGGCCACACUGGGACUGAGACACGGCCCAGACUCCUACGGGAGGCAGCAGUGGGGAAUAUUGCACAAUGGGCGCAAGCCUGAUGCAGCGACGCCGCGUGAGGGAUGACGGCCUUCGGGUUGUAAACCUCUUUCAGCAGGGAAGAAGCGCAAGUGACGGUACCUGCAGAAGAAGCG
rnacentral:rRNA from 1 species